rnacentral:rRNA from 1 species
GUCUAACGGGCGUAGCAAUACGUCAGUGGCGGACGGGUGAGUAACACGUGGGAACAUGCCCCGAGGUACGGAACAACUCAGGGAAACUUGAGCUAAUACCGUAUGAUCCGGCAACGGCAAAGAUUUAUCGCCUUGGGAUUGGCCCGCGUCCGAUUAGCUAGUUGGUGAGGUAACGGCCCACCAAGGCACCGAUCGGUAGCUGGUUUGAGAGAACGACCAGCCACACUGGGACUGAGACACGGCCCAGACUCCUACGGGAGGCAGCAGUAGGGAAUCUUGGACAAUGGGGGAAACCCUGAUCCAGCCAUGCCGCGUGAGUGAUGAAGGCCUUCGGGUUGUAAAACUCUUUCGGCGGGGACGAUAAUGACGGUACCCGCAGAAGAAGCUCCGGCUAACUUCGUGCCAGCAGCCGCGGUAAUACGAAGGGGGCUAGCGUUGUUCGGAAUUACUGGGCGUAAAGCGCGCGCAGGCGGCCUUUCAAGUCAGGGGUGAAAGCCCGGAGCUCAACUCCGGAAUUGCCUUUGAAACUGUCAGGCUCGAGUACGGGAGAGGUGAGUGGAAUUCCCAGUGUAGAGGUGAAAUUCGUAGAUAUUGGGAAGAACACCGGUGGCGAAGGCGGCUCACUGGCCCGUUUCUGACGCUCAGGCGCGACAGCGUGGGGAUCAAACAGGAUUAGAUACCCUGGUAGUCCACGCCGUA